AUGGGGGACACUGUUGUGGGUGUUUACUACAGGCCACCAGAUCAGGAAGAGGAAGUGGCGGAGGCCUUCUACAGGCAGCUGGAAGUAGCCUCACGAUCCCAGGCCCUGGUUCUCAUGGGGGACUUCAACCACCCCGAUAUCUGCUGGAAAGACAACACGGCUAGGCACAAACAGUCCUGGAGGUUCCUGCAGAGCAUUGGUGACAACUUCUUGACACAGGUGGUGGAGGAGCCAACAAGGAGAGGUGUGCUGCUGGACCUCGUACUGACAAACAAAGAAGGACUGGUGGAAGAUGUGAAGGUCAGGGGCAGCCUUGGCUGCAGUGACCAUGAGAUGGUGGAGUUCAGGAUCCUGCGAGGAGGAGGCAGGGCAAGAAGUAGGAUCGCAACCCUGGAGUUUAGGAGAGCAAACUUUGGCCUCUUCAGGGACAUACUUGGAGGAAUCCCAUGGGUUACAGCCCUAGAAGGAAGGGGCGUUCAAGAGAGCUGGUUAAUAUUCAAACAUCACUUCCUCCAGGCUCAAGAGCGGUGCAUCCCUAUGAGUAGGAAGUCAAGCAAAGGAGGUAGGAGACCUGCAUGGAUGAGCAAGGAGCUCCUGGCAAAACUCAACCAGAAGAAGGAAGUCUACAGAAAGUGGAAAGGGGGACAGGCCACUUGGGAGGAAUAUAGGAACAUUGUCAGAGUAUGCAGGGAUGCGACGAGGAAGGCUAAGGCCCGUUUGGAAUUAAAUCUGGCGAGAGAUGUCAAGGACAACAAGAAGGGCUUCUUCAAAUACAUCAGUAGCAAGAGGAAGACUAGGGAAAAUGUGGGCCCUUUGCUGAACGGGGUCAGUGCCCUGGUGACGAAGGACGCAGAGAAGGCAGAGUUACUGAAUACCUUCUUUGCUUUAGUCUUUACUGCUCAGGCCAGCCCUCAGGAACCCCAGACCCUGGAGGCAAGAGAGAAAGUCUGGAGAAAGGAAGACUUUCCCUUGGUGGAGGAGGAGUGGGUUAGAGAUCAUUUAAGCAAACUUGACACCCACAAAUCCAUGGGCCCCGAUGGGAUGCACCCACGAGUGCCGAGGGAGCUGGUGGAUGUCAUUGCUAAGCCACUCUCCAUCAUCUUUGAAAGGUCAUGGAGAACAGGAGAGAUGCCUGAAGACUGGAAAAAAGCCAAUGUCACUCCAGUCUUCAAAAAGGGCAAGAAGGAGCACCCAGGGAACUACAGGCCAGUCAGCCUCACCUGCAUCCCUGGAAAGGUGAUGAAGCAGCUCAUCCUGGAGGCCAUCUCCAAGCACGUGGAGGAAAAGAAGGUGAUCGGGAGUAGUCAGCAUGGAUUCACAAAGGGGAAAUCACGCUUAACCAAUCUGAUAGCCUUCUAUGAUGGAAUGACUGGCUAG
ensembl:lncRNA